rnacentral:rRNA from 1 species
AGAAUCAACGCUGGCGGCGUGCCUAACACAUGCAAGUCGAACGAGAAAGUGGAGCAAUCCAUGAGUAAAGUGGCGACCGGGUGAGUAACACGUGACUAACCUACCUUCGAGUGGGGGAUAACCUCGGGAAACCGAGGCUAAUACCGCAUAACAUCGCAAGAUCAAAGCAGCAAUGCGCUGGAAGAGGGGGUCGCGGCUGAUUAGCUAGUUGGCGGGUAACGGCCCACCAAGGCGAAGAUCGGUAGCCGGCCUGAGAGGGCGCGACGGACCGACGACCUGGAACUGAAACACGGUCCAGACUCCUACGGGAGGCAGCAGUGGGGAAUUUUGCGCAAUGGGGGAAACCCUGACGCAGCAACGCCGCGUGGAGGAUGAAGCCCCUUGGGGCGUAAACUCCUUUCGACCAAGACGAUAAUGACGGUACUGGUGGAAGAAGCACCGGCUAACUCUGUGCCAGCAGCCGC